ACGGAGAGUUUGAUCCUGGCUCAGGAUGAACGUUGGCGGCGUGCCUAAUACAUGCAAGUCGAACGGUCGCAAGACAGUGGCGCACGGGUGAGGAACACGUAGCUGACCUGCCCUCCAGAGGGGGAUAACGUCGCGAAAGUGACGCUAAUACCCCAUAAGCUCACAGGCUCUAGAGGCCUGCGAGAAAAGCUCCGGCGCUGGAGGAGGGGGCUGCGGCCCAUCAGCUGGUCGGUGGGGUAACGGCCUACCGAGGCAACGACGGGUCGGGGGCCUGAGAGGGUGGCCCCCCACACUGGGACUGAGACACGGCCCAGACUCCUACGGGAGGCAGCAGUAAGGAAUAUUGCACAAUGGGCGCAAGCCUGAUGCAGCGACGCCGCGU
rnacentral:rRNA from 1 species